GAUGCCCACUUGUGGGUGGAUUAGUGGCGAACGGGUGAGUAACACGUGAGUAACCUGCCCUUGACUCUGGGAUAAGCCUGGGAAACUGGGUCUAAUACCGGAUAUGACCUUCCAUCGCAUGGUGGUUGGUGGAAAGCUUUUGUGGUUUUGGAUGGACUCGCGGCCUAUCAGCUUGUUGGUGGGGUAAUGGCCUACCAAGGCGACGACGGGUAGCCGGCCUGAGAGGGUGACCGGCCACACUGGGACUGAGACACGGCCCAGACUCCUACGGGAGGCAGCAGUGGGGAAUAUUGCACAAUGGGCGCAAGCCUGAUGCAGCGACGCCGCGUGAGGGAUGACGGCCUUCGGGUUGUAAACCUCUUUCAGUAGGGAAGAAGCGAAAGUGACGGUACCUGCAGAAGAAGCGCCGGCUAACUACGUGCCAGCAGCCGCGGUAAUACGUAGGGCGCAAGCGUUAUCCGGAAUUAUUGGGCGUAAAGAGCUCGUAGGCGGUUUGUCGCGUCUGCCGUGAAAGUCCGGGGCUCAACUCCGGAUCUGCGGUGGGUACGGGCAGACUAGAGUGAUGUAGGGGAGACUGGAAUUCCUGGUGUAGCGGUGAAAUGCGCAGAUAUCAGGAGGAACACCGAUGGCGAAGGCAGGUCUCUGGGCAUUAACUGACGCUGAGGAGCGAAAGCAUGGGGAGCGAACAGGAUUAGAUACCCUGGUAGUCCAUGCCGUAAACGUUGGGCACUAGGUGUGGGGGACAUUCCACGUUUUCCGCGCCGUAGCUAACGCAUUAAGUGCCCCGCCUGGGGAGUACGGCCGCAAGGCUAAAACUCAAAGGAAUUGACGGGGGCCCGCACAAGCGGCGGAGCAUGCGGAUUAAUUCGAUGCAACGCGAAGAACCUUACCAAGGCUUGACAUGAACCGGAAAGACCUGGAAACAGGUGCCCCGCUUGCGGUCGGUUUACAGGUGGUGCAUGGUUGUCGUCAGCUCGUGUCGUGAGAUGUUGGGUUAAGUCCCGCAACGAGCGCAACCCUCGUUCUAUGUUGCCAGCACGUGAUGGUGGGGACUCAUAGGAGACUGCCGGGGUCAACUCGGAGGAAGGUGGGGACGACGUCAAAUCAUCAUGCCCCUUAUGUCUUGGGCUUCACGCAUGCUACAAUGGCCGGUACAAAGGGUUGCGAUACUGUGAGGUGGAGCUAAUCCCAAAAAGCCGGUCUCAGUUCGGAUUGGGGUCUGCAACUCGACCCCAUGAAGUCGGAGUCGCUAGUAAUCGCAGAUCAGCAACGCUGCGGUGAAUACGUUCCCGGGCCUUGUACACACCGCCCGUCAAGUCACGAAAGUUGGUAACACCCGAAGCCGGUGGCCUAACCCCUUGU
rnacentral:rRNA from 1 species